AUGAUGAUUGACUAUGAGUGUCCCUCUCCAUUAGCCUGUGUGCCGGCUGGGAGGAGUGUGUGUGAGAGUGUGUUAGCACCACACACACACACACACACAGCACACACACACACUCUAACGGCCAUGCCCCAGAGAUACUCCUACCAGAAGAGGAAAGCCAGCACGGCAGCAGCUCGGAGGAUGGAGAGGCGAGGCAGGGACUCUGGGAAGACCAACAACACCAACACUAGCCACAGCCACCGCUCCAAGAAGCUAGCCAUGCUCUCCAGGUCCCUGAUCCUCUGUCACUCCAGAGCCAGUGAUGACUGCCCCAGCCCCGAAGAGAGACCGCCAGGGGAGGCCUGGAAGGGAGACAGGGGCUUGGGGAGAGAUGGGAAGGGGAACAGGGAGGUGGAGAGGUCCCAGAAGAAGAUCCAGGAAGGACCCCAGGAGAGUGGAGGAACUAUGCAGGCAUCUACACAGCCACCCGUAGGGGCCACCAACACACUCAGGGCUACAGGAGAACACAAGAGGAAUAUGAGGAGGUCCUUCAGUAUCAAGGAGAGCAGUAUCUGGAGGAUGUGUGUAACGACGGGGGCGGGUGAGGAGGAUCUGGGCCGACAGACUGGCGAUAGCAGCCCCCAGGCGGAGGACAAAGAACCCAGUGUGGAGCGAGGGAGGAAGGGAGGAGGGGAUGGACACAGUUACCUUCAGAGUACAGACAAGCUUGCACCUUUUAACGGACAGUGUCUGAACGGCCAUGCCAGGACAGAGGGGGAGAGGCAGGCCAAGAACGGCCAUGCUGCAAGGACAGAGGGGGAGGGAGGGAGGCAUGCCGCCUCCAGGAACAGCCACAUAACAGCCUACAGUGAGGAAAGCUCAACAUGUGAGCAGCAGCCCCUGUCCCCUGGAGGUCUAACCCUGGCCCCCCUGCACUCGGUCCCCCUGUGCCUGACAGACCCCCUGGCAGUGACCAACUACACAGAGACAGAACAAACUGGGAACAACAACCACCUCAAGCUGGCAAUCCCAGAGGUGAAUGAGGACAGAGGUUGGGACACAGAGAGGAGAGGACAUGGUCUUCAGGGACAGACGGUCUGCAAGAGGACCCGCUCCAACUCUACCAGUGUCCAUCCAUACUGGAUUGGAGACCUGGACACCAUUAUCCUGAAGACGCCUGAGCUAUGCGGGAGCAACACCCACGGAACCGUCGGUUUCUUUGGCAGCAGGAAGUCCCAGUCCCAGCAGCUGGAGUUUCCUCACAACCCCAACCAGCCCGUUCCCCGUCCCUCUCGCUCUCUUAGCUCCGCCCAUCUGGUCCACUCCUGCAGUAACGUCCAAGCCUUCAUCAUCUGUAACAUCGUGCUGAUGAAGGGCCAUGGCAAGGGUCUGGGGUUCAGCAUUGUGGGGGGCAGGGACAGCAUGUACGGACCCAUGGGUAUCUACGUCAAGACCAUCUUCGCUGGAGGGGCCGCGGCUGCAGAUGGCAGACUACAUGAGGGGGAUGAGAUCCUGGAGUUGAAUGGAGAGUCUCUACAUGGACUAACUCAUGAGGAUGCACUACAGAGAUUCAAACAGAUAAAGAAGGGUCUGUUGACUCUGGUGGUGAGGACCAGCCUGCGUGUCGGCGCCCUCUGUGGCCAGGCAGCGGUAGCACAGCUGUGUCGGUCUCGCUCUCUCAGCUCCAGUACUGGCAUGUCCAGGGUCAGCACUGAAAUGGGGGACUACAAUUACCUCAGUGGUCCACCUUUGGCCAAACCCCGAGAUCGUGUCAUGAUGGAGAUCACCUUGCAUAAAGAGGCUGGUGUGGGGCUCGGCAUUGGGCUGUGUUGCGUGCCGUCUGGAGAUGGUUGCCGUGGCGUCUAUAUCCACACCCUGUCCCCUGGGUCGGUGGCACACAUGGACAGUAGACUCAGAUGUGGAGAUGAGAUUAUGGAGAUCAACAACACAGUGGUAUACAACAUGGUACUGAAUGAUGUGUACACGGUUCUGAGUCAGUGCUCCCCCGGGCCAGUCCAGAUCAUCAUCAGUCGACACCCUGACCCCAAAGUAAAUACCCCAUUUAACCUUAUAUACACACCCUGUCUGACCUUAUAUACACACCCUGUCUGACCUUAUAUACACACCCUGUCUGACCUUAUAUACACACCCUGUCUGACCUUAUAUACACACCCUGUCUAACCUUAUAUACACACCCUGUCUGACCUUAUAUACACACCCUGUCUGACCUUAUAUACACACCCUGUCUGACCUUAUAUACACACCCUGUCUGACCUUAUAUACACACCCUGUCUAACCUUAUAUACACACCCUGUCUGACCUUAUAUACACACCCUGUCUAACUUAUAUACACACCCUGUCUGAC
rnacentral:lncRNA from 1 species